rnacentral:tRNA from 1 species
AGAUAAAGAAGAACCAGAGAAAGCUUCUAACUUUACUUUGAGAUAGUUUAAUUCUACCUUUUAUCUG